CCUACGGGAGGCAGCAGUGAGGAAUAUUGGUCAAUGGACGAGAGUCUGAACCAGCCAAGCCGCGUGAAGGAUGACUGCCCUAUGGGUUGUAAACUUCUUUUAUAUGGGAAUAAAAUGUGCCACGUGUGGGAUUUUGUAUGUACCAUAUGAAUAAGGAUCGGCUAACUCCGUGCCAGCAGCCGCGGUAAUACGGAGGAUCCGAGCGUUAUCCGGAUUUAUUGGGUUUAAAGGGUGCGUAGGUGGAUGGUUAAGUCAGUUGUGAAAGUUUGCGGCUCAACCGUAAAAUUGCAGUUGAAACUGGCAGUCUGGAGUGCAGUAGAGGUGGGCGGAAUGCGUGGUGUAGCGGUGAAAUGCUUAGAUAUCACGAAGAACUCCGAUUGCGAAGGCAGCUCACUGGACUGCAACUGACACUGAGGCUCGAAAGCGUGGGGAGCAAACAGGAUUAGAUACCCCUGUAGUC
rnacentral:rRNA from 1 species